UACGUAGGGGGCAAGCGUUGUCCGGAAUCAUUGGGCGUAAAGAGCGUGUAGGCGGCCCGAUAAGUCCGCUGUGAAAGUCCAGGGCUCAACCCUGGAAUGCCGGUGGAUACUGUCGGGCUCGAAUCCGGAAGAGGUGAGUGGAAUUCCUGGUGUAGCGGUGAAAUGCGCAGAUAUCAGGAGGAACACCAAUGGCGAAGGCAGCACUCUGGGACGUGACUGACGCUGAGACGCGAAAGCGUGGGGAGCAAACAGG
rnacentral:rRNA from 1 species